GCCCACUCUAGGCCUUUAUAUCCCUCCCAGAUCUCAGUCAUGGGGAUAGAUGGAACACCCUCCUUCCCAAAGAAAAUAGCCGGUCUGACAUGCUCCCUAGAGGGACAUCCUUUUACCCACUUCUCUUUAGUUACCUCUUCCUAUUCAGUUCCCCUCCUAGGACAAGAUGUUCUCUAGCUCUUGGGGGCUACCCUCCAGCUCUCACCUCAUGCCCCUACUACCCAACUCCUCCUCCCCUCGAUUCAAUCCACAAUAGACACACCCUCCCCCCCACCACUUUUCCCCUCCCAUCAGGCCUCAUAGACCCCCAACUCUGGGAUGCCUUCAAACUGGUAAUAGGAAUACACCAUCAACCAGUGCAGAUUCUAUGUUCCCUUCUCGACCUCAGUUUCCCAUUUCUCUCCCUCACCGCAGGGGACUCAAACCCAUCAUUGAGUGACUACUAGAUCAAGGCCUUCUCAUUCCCAAAGACUCUCCCUGCAACACUCGGAUCCUACCUGACCGCAAACCAUCAGAAGCAUACCGCUUGGUACAAGAUCUCUGUUUAGUCAAUGAAGCAGUUAUUCCCCUUCAUCCAGUGGUCCCUAAUCCUUUACCCUCCUCUCUCACAUACCACCCUCAAACUCUCAUUUCACAGUUCUAGAUCUCAAAGACACCUUCUUCAAAGUCCCAUUUCAUCCAGAUUCUUACUUCCUCUUUGCUUUCACCUGGGAGGACCCUGACACCCUCACAUCAUAUCAACUAACCUGGACUAUCCUCCCUCAAGGCUUCUGGGAUAGUCCCCAUUUGUUUGGAAAGUGUGGCCUGAGAUUUAGCUCCCUGUGAUCUCAGAGUCAGUACCCUCCUACAAUAUGUAGAUGACCUCCUCUUGUGCAGCCCAUCUUGAAAGACUUCUCAGGAACACACUGCCCACCUACUCAACUUUUUAGGUUCCAGAGGAUACCGAGUUUCCCCAGCCACAGCUCGACUCUAGGUCCCCUUGGUUACCUACCUGGGCAUUCUUCUAACUCCUACCUCCAAAAGCCUCUUUGUAGACAGAAUCCAAGCUCUCGG
rnacentral:lncRNA from 1 species